AUUGAACGCUGGCGGCAGGCCUAACACAUGCAAGUCGAGCGGAUGAAGGGAGCUUGCUCCUGGACUCAGCGGCGGACGGGUGAGUAAUGCCUAGGAAUCUGCCUGGUAGUGGGGGAUAACGUCCGGAAACGGGCGCUAAUACCGCAUACGUCCUGAGGGAGAAAGUGGGGGAUCUUCGGACCUCACGCUAUCAGAUGAGCCUAGGUCGGAUUAGCUAGUUGGUGGGGUAAAGGCCUACCAAGGCGACGAUCCGUAACUGGUCUGAGAGGAUGAUCAGUUACACUGGAACUGAGACACGGUCCAGACUCCUACGGGAGGCAGCAGUGGGGAAUAUUGGACAAUGGGCGAAAGCCUGAUCCAGCCAUGCCGCGUGUGUGAAGAAGGUCUUCGGAUUGUAAAGCACUUUAAGUUGGGAGGAAGGGCAGUAAGUUAAUACCUUGCUGUUUUGACGUUACCAACAGAAUAAGCACCGGCUAACUUCGUG
rnacentral:rRNA from 1 species